GUGUAAUGCAUAAGAAAAGCAGCUAUUUUGGAUAUUUUACUUUUCAGUUAUUUAGACAUCACAGUCAUAGACACAACUGAACUUGAUUGAGUUCAUUGGUUAACCACAUUCUUGGAAGGAUGCCGUUGAAUAUCAAGGAAAGAAUUUGUCAACGGUUUAAAUGUUUACUAAUCACAGAUCUCUGGAUUUUUGUGUAGGAGAUACCCAUGGAAUGAGUAAAUCUCAAAAAAGUGGCUUUGAAUUUGAGCUUCAAUAGAAUCUUGAACAAAGAAAAGUACAUUUUUAGAGAUGUGACAAGAGACAAAGGAAAAGGACUUUAAUGCUCUAUGGGUGGCAAUUUAUAGGAAGGCAAAUGACCUUCAGAUAAACUCUGGCAGAGGCAAGGGCCUCCAGCCAGCUAAUGUGAUGGACACGGUAUCUGGAGAGUCCUGCAUUUCAAAACUUACUCUAAGGAAGACUGCUUUGAUUUUCAAAGUCUCUAGUCUACAGAGAGAUUGAGCUCUGGCUGCAAGACAC
rnacentral:lncRNA from 1 species